AGAUCACAUGUAAAAGAGGUAAAUUGAUCUUUACUUGUUUAAGGUGCUCUAAGAUUUCACUAUGUUGACCAAUAGAUUUCGAGGUGGAUUUAAGAGCUUGAGGAAAGGGUACUCGCGGUGGAUUUUUCACUACCUCCUCGCUAGGGGUACUCUCUUCUGAAUUGCUAGGGUCCUUUUUAUCUUCCCUAGGUUUGGAGGUUGGUUCAAUAACCUUACCGGACCGAGUGGUUAUGGCAUUAACUUCCUUAAGGUUGUUUUCUCUUGAGCCCGAGGUUUGUGCCAUAUG
rnacentral:lncRNA from 1 species